rnacentral:tRNA from 2 species
CGGGACGUGGCGCAGCCUGGUAGCGCACCUGCUUUGGGAGCAGGGGGUCGCGAGUUCAAAUCUCGCCGUCCCGA